GAUGAGAACGUUUUUGAUAAUAUAGUCGGAUAAUAUAUUCGUGAUACACUUAAUUUUAUUGAGAAGUUACUAAACAAUGAUGUUGUGAUCGGCGGGAAAACAAUUAUUUGCGAUGUCUAAAAUUGAAUGGGAUUGAUUAAAAGAUCAAAAGAACAAUACUGGAAAAGCUGAUGACUGUGACAAAAGGCGCUAAUCGAAGAAAAAAAUAUCAGAGACGAACAAUUACACAUGAAUAAGAUAUACAUGAUCAAGAGAAGAACGAAUAUACAUGCAUAACAUCCCAGGUCAAAUAUUGAACAAGGAUCAGAAGAAAGAAUAGAUUUAGACAUUUGUGAAAGGAACAAUGGAAACUUUGGAAGUUUACUCUUUCUGAAACGCAUAACUACAACAAAGAUGUGAUCAUUGUAUUAGAAACUGAAUUUUCCAGUCUUGUAGUGGUUUAACUAGCUUACCAAGACAUAUACUUUCAUGUUUUAUACACUUAUCUUUUUCAUGUUUUUUUUUAUUUUUAUAUUAUAUCUGAUCGAAGUAGCAUUGAAAAAACGGGAAUAUAUAAAUAUUUAAGAGAAAGUUACUACAUUUUGUACUUGGAAUAACUUAAAGAGGAGAUACGACGUUUCAUUGAUUCUUGAUAUUAGCACAAUUGUAUGUGAUAUUGAUAUCUCAUUUUGAUGGA
rnacentral:lncRNA from 1 species